rnacentral:rRNA from 1 species
AUUGAACGCUGGCGGCAGGCCUAACACAUGCAAGUCGAGCGGAGCGGCGGACGGGUGAGUAAUGCCUAGGAAUCUGCCUGGUAGUGGGGGAUAACGUCCGGAAACGGGCGCUAAUACCGCAUACUAUCAGAUGAGCCUAGGUCGGAUUAGCUAGUUGGUGGGGUAAAGGCUCACCUAGGCGACGAUCCCUAGCUGGUCUGAGAGGAUGACCAGCCACACUGGCACUGAGACACGGUCCAGACUCCUACGGGAGGCAGCAGUGGGGAAUAUUGCACAAUGGGCGCAAGCCGGAUGCAGCCAUGCCGCGUGUAUGAAGAAGGCCUUCGGGUUGUAAAGUACUUUCAGCGGGGAGGCGUUACCAACAGAAUAAGCACCGGCUAACUUCGUGCCAGCAGCCGCGGUAAUAC